rnacentral:rRNA from 1 species
CAGCCGCCGCGGGAAUACGUAGGGUGCAAGCGUUAAUCGGAAUUACUGGGCGUAAAGCGUGCGCAGGCGGUUAUAUAAGACAGAUGUGAAAUCCCCGGGCUCAACCUGGGAACUGCAUUUGUGACUGUAUAGCUAGAGUACGGCAGAGGGGGAUGGAAUUCCGCGUGUAGCAGUGAAAUGCGUAGAUAUGCGGAGGAACACCGAUGGCGAAGACAAUCCCCUGGGCCUGUACUGACGCUCAUGCACGAAAGCGUGGGGAGCAAACAGGAUUAGAUACCCGAGUAGUCCCUGUCUCUUAUAC